UAUCUCUAGCAGCUUUUUAGUUUGGGACCUGUGGGAAGUUGAGUUGGGGCUGAAAGAAGAAGUAAGAGAAUGAGGGAGAGGACGAAAGUGAAUGCGAUGAGAUCGGGAGUUGUGGUGCUUGGAGCACUGGCAUUUGGGUACCUUACGCUACAGCUUGGGUUCAGGCCCUUCCUUGAAAGAGCUCAACUUGCUGUUGAUGAGUCUGAGCCGCCAUCUUCCUCCUCCUCAGAACAACAACAGCUUAACUCAAGCUCAACCCGCCACUUCUAAAUCAACAAUACCCACUACCCAAAGCCUCACAACUCUCACUUGUUUCGCAAUUUUUGUUUCUUUCCUUUUUCUUUUUUUUUCUUUUGUUGGAUUGGGAAGUUUUACUGCACUGCGCAACAGGGUUUCUUGCUGACCCAGAGAAUUACUUGGGCCAUUGGUGCUCUGACAGGUAAAGACUCAAAACAAAUCAACGCCUCCUUUUCUUUGUAGCGGUGGAGAGGGUUUGAUGUGAAAGAGAAGCAAUCAGAGAGGGUAAGGAAUGUUAUAGCUCAGAGGGCUCAAGCAUGUGUUUAGUCAGAGGAAGAAGUUUAUGCAGAAUUGGUGAAUUGGGUUUGAUCAAAACUUACAAUGUAAAGCAAGGGUCAACACAUUCUUUGGUUGCCCUGUUGAUGAACACAAGAAUUUUUAGCUCCAACUGAUGUAUGAUAUCUGUUGAUGAACACAAUAACUUUUAGUUCGGGAUUAUUUUUUUAAAAUCAAGGGUUGUGGGUAAGUGGAUAUGCAUUGAAGUGGAAUACA